AGAUUUCUACUUCUGAUGACACAUGGCUGAGAAUAAGGAUGAGUUUCAUUCAGGCAAAGUCAAAUCCAGGCUCCCCGAAACCCAGAGUGAUCUUCAAGUCCUGUGUUCCUAAUGUGGAGUUUUCAAACCAUAUUCCACACAGAACCAGUAUUACCACAUGUUCCCUGCAGGGGGAUUAUAUAUCUUCUUCCUACUGAUAUCACGUGACUUGCUUCAGCCAAUGAAAUGGCACAGGAGUGCCGUGUGCCACUCACAGAAAAAGCCCAAGACCUUCAUGAGGUUCUGCAGUUUUCCUUUUAUCUCCUCCAUGAGACCUACAAUAGCCCAAGUGGGAGUUGCUCUUAUAGCCUUGAUCCAAGAGUAAAGAUGUUGAAAAGAGCUACAGCCACCAAGCAGCUGUCAUGUAAAGUGAGUAAGAAAUAAAGCACGCUGUUGCAAACCA